rnacentral:lncRNA from 1 species
GGGGUCUUCUCUCUUGGCUUUGGAGCUCCCCAUUCCUCUGUGUCUGUAACAGGGGAGCUUCUUCCUUCUUUCUUCUCCCUUCUUUCUUGCCUGUUAAACUCUCUGCUUCUUAAAACCACUCCAUGUAUGUCCAGGUCAUUUUAUCUAAUUUGGAGACGGAGAACCCUGGUGUUCCUCUGCUCAUCAGAGCCGUCUCACCUGCAAGGGCCAGGAUCCAGCACUAGGGCUGCCCUUUAUGUUCAUGCAGCCUCCACUAGGAAGAUCCUCCUUAGCUGCCACCUGCUGUAAAGGGAUCUAUCUAUCUAUCUGUCUAUCUAUCUAUCUAUCUAUCUUUCUAUCUACCUGUCGAGAGAGAGAGAGGUUUAUUAUAAGGAAUUGACUCAUGUGAUUAUGGAGGCUGAGAAGUUCCACAGUCUGCUGUCUGCAAGCUGGAGACCCAGGAAGGCUGCUGGUGCCGUUCCAGUUUGAUUCUGAAGGCCUGAGAACCAGAACUGAUGCCCACUCAACAUGAAGAUGACAAGGAUGAAGACCUUUAUGAUGAUCCAUUCCCACUUACUGAAUAUGGUCCUUUGGGAUCAGAGAGCACAGCUGCCACCACCAAGGAGCUGCAAUCACCACCACCAAGAAGCUGUAGCAACAGAGACCAGCGCAACGGUACUGUGAGGACCCAAGAAAACCCAGCUGUGAGCCAGGAGCUUUCCUCCCUGAAGCUUUCAACACCACGGGAAUUGAUUCAUGGCCCUGUCAUUUCAUCUCAUUCCUCGUGGACUCUCAGCAUCUUUAGAAUGACCUGAACAUUGUGGAGGGAGUCCAGAAUCCCUACCCCUGGGCUCUGAGGCAAUGCCUUGGGUUUUUGCAUUGUCUCUUUUCUAGUAAUGGCAGCAACAACAACAACAGCGAAAACCCCAGCUCAACCCACUCUGACCCUAGCGCUCUCUUCCUGGUGUCUUCACUUGCACAGCUUAAAAACUAUAAAUAACAAGGCCCUUUUCCAAAUGUCUUUUGGUAAACUAUGCCUGACCCUGAAAACAAGGCCACCAUCUUCCAGGUGGGAGUGGCCUGUGAGAUUAUAACCUCAGUCCUCUUUCCUAAUAACUGGCUGCUGUGAUCUACCUUGCCUGUGUGGCCCUGUCCUUUGAUUGACACACUGGUUGGGGUGGAAGGUGAAGAGUCUGCCAUGUUACAACCUUAGAAGGAGAAUGUGUGGUCCCCAGACCAGUGCCUGGGGCAGAACAUCUUUUCCUUGUGACUCAACCAGACUGAUGAGGGUUCCAGCAAUAACUGGACAGCAGCUAGGCCCUGGAUGGCCAAGGAGGAGACAGGCUCUUCACACAGACACCCUCAGGGUGGAUGCUGAAAUCUGUGAGUAGGCUGGGGUGGGGGAGACGCCCACGUCAGAAUACCUGGGAGAGGCUAUAUGUAAAAGGGAACUUACCUGCUGCUUGUGUGGAUGUGGCCUAAUACUAAGAUGUUUUAUGACUCCAGAUUAGCUAAGAAAGGGGAGCUAGAGAGAGGCAGUGAUUAAUCCUCCCACGGAAGAACAUGGGAUGGGGGAGGUCAGAUCUUGAUCACCUGGUGACUUCUCCAUGGACCCCAACAUGUCCCUCCAUGUAGACAGAGGGGGGUCAGAGCAGCAGUGCAGGGUCUUCCCAACCACUGAGGAGCCCGGUUGCACCCUGCAAGUUCAACAGAGGGCCUUUGUGGCACUGGUUUGCGUUGCUGGGAGGAGUGCAAAAUGCACAGGAACCAGGGCCUACCCUUGGGGUGGAGCAGGUGAACAGCACAGAGAGGCGACACCAUCACAUUAGACAGACCAGAAAUGUGUCCCAGGAGGUAGGGUCCAUGUGCUGGGAGCCAUGGGGGAGCCUCCAUCCCUCUCUCAGGGCUUUCCCCAUGGGGGCCUCGGAAGCUGCAGUGCUUGUCAUAUGCAGUGGCAUAAGAAAGAGUCACAUCAAGACCCAGUCCAUGACAUUCCUCAGGGGCCCCUGAGUGGAUUUCACAAGGAAAAUCUCUUUUAAAGCCAAGCCCUAAGCACAUGUGUUUCUCCCAAGGAAGGGGCAUGCUUCAGCCCUGAUCUUGUUUCCCUUGUUCUUGGCCCAUACAGCUUGGCCUCAGUUAGGGACUCAACUGUGUGAACUGUUGAAGUCCUAUGGCCCACAGGGUACUUUCUAACCCCCUCUUGGCCCAGCCUCCUCCUGGGUCCUCUUGUCCCCGACCCCUUGUGCAUUCACAUUUCCAGUUUUCUGUUUUUUGGUGCAGUGUGCACCUUCCUGUGUGCCACCUUGGGUCUGUGGUGGAAGGAGGUAGAGGGUGACAGUGUGCACAUCCGUCUGUCUUUUCCAGUCGGGGGUGUCCUAGUGUCUCCAUUCAUUGGACUCUCAGUGUCCCCAGAUGAAGUCUUAUCUCAAAGUCCUCCAGGAGAAGAUACAAGCAGGGUCAGAUGCCGCAGACACACAGUUAUGAGAAGAGCCCACCUGGCCAGCCCGGGAUGGGUCAGUGGGGCUCCUAGUGCACUGGAACACUCUGUAAGCUUCAAUGCAACUGCUUAAAAAUGCAAAGCAGUUUUUGUGGGUUGGCUGGUUUGCAUAUUGGGCGCACGUGUCUGUGGUAAAAGUCUAAAGCCAUGUGUUUCCUGGUGGUUAAGAACACAGGCUCUGACCUUCUGUAGCCUGGAUUGGAACUCUGGCUGCUUAGCUGUGUGGUCUUCAAGUUACUUAAUGUCUCGGUGCCUCCAUGUCCUCACCUGUAAAAUGAGGAUGAUGAUGACUAUCUCAUGGGGGAGGAGGGGACUAUGAGAGCCCCUAUGUUGGUCUUGAAUUCCCGGCUGCAAGCAAUCCUCCUGCGUUGGCUUCCCAAAGUGUUGGGAUUAAAGGCCUGAGCCACCUCGCCCAGCCAAGAUAGAUACUGUUUUAAUGCUAUAUAUAUAAUCAAAAUUAAUGCAAUAAAUUCCUUGAUGACAAAAUAACAACAUUUUAAAUAAAGAGGAUCUGUAUUUCUGAACUUGCCUUUUGCUGCAGGCUCUAACAUGGCUUGGUCUACCACUGACUGGCAGUUACCUCUCUUUGAGAAUGUAUGUGCUGGUCGCAACACACUUAUGAUUUCUCAGUCGUAUGGCCGUAUGGCCAGCCUGCAAGGCAGGAAUUAUUACAGAUAAGUAAACUGAGGCUCCUGGAGAUUAAGUCAUUUGCCCAAGGUCAAACCACGGCCCUUGGCCUCUGCAAAGCUGCCUCCCAACUGUACCCACAGCCGGAGAAGACGGCCCCAGGCUCAAGACUAGAGAUAUGAUUGGUCUCUUCCAGCUAAAAAUGCCUAAGCAGAUCAGAGGCUAAGGAGGAGAUUUCAAUCAUGUAACUGCUAUCUUGUGAGCCUGUAAUAGCUGGCGAAUGCAUGGGUUUUUCUCCUGUGGUUUUUGCUUAACCUCUUUUUUAAUUUCAUUGUUCCUUUAACAAUGUGAUUCUUUUGGCUCUCUAAUCUGUCCUAAUAAAUGCUGUAAUUACAAGUUUCCCUGACGAUGCUGUGCAGCAGGCGAGCUCCCUCCCUGGCUCCUGGGAAACUGAACUGGAGAGGGAUCUUGGCAGGGAGCCGCUGCAUCCGCCAGGCCUCAGUCACCACCCGCCUCUCAGUCAAGUUCAGCUCUUUGAAGCCAGGACCUUGUCUGUCUUGUUCACAGUAGUAUCUCCCAAAUCUGCCUGGUGCCUGGCACAUAGAAGGGGCUUAAUAAAUCUCUGUUGAAUGAAUAAAUGAAAAAAUAGAAGUCUAAGUAGCGUGUUCGAACCCUUGAAAAAGUACAUGCAACCUAUGUAGCAUCUUUUCUUGAACCUUGUACCUCGUGUGGUGGUUGGAGUUCACUGAGGAUAUUUGUAGAAUGAAAUAAAAAAGCAUAUAGGUGUUGUGUUGCAUUGUAUAAUGUGCCUAUACACACACACAAUUAUAUAUAUGUGUGUAUGUAUACAUAUGUAUAUAUAAUUAUAUGUAUAUAUAUACCUCUUCAGUCAAGAACACAGCAGAAUACACAU